rnacentral:rRNA from 1 species
CGUACACUCCUACGGGAGGCAGCAGUGGGGAAUUUUGGACAAUGGGCGAAAGCCUGAUCCAGCCAUGCCGCGUGCAGGAUGAAGGCCUUCGGGUUGUAAACUGCUUUUGUACGGAACGAAACGGCCUUUUCUAAUAAAGAGGGCUAAUGACGGUACCGUAAGAAUAAGCACCGGCUAACUACGUGCCAGCAGCCGCGGUAAUACGUAGGGUGCAAGCGUUAAUCGGAAUUACUGGGCGUAAAGCGUGCGCAGGCGGUUAUGUAAGACAGUUGUGAAAUCCCCGGGCUCAACCUGGGAACUGCAUCUGUGACUGCAUAGCUAGAGUACGGUAGAGGGGGAUGGAAUUCCGCGUGUAGCAGUGAAAUGCGUAGAUAUGCGGAGGAACACCGAUGGCGAAGGCAAUCCCCUGGACCUGUACUGACGCUCAUGCACGAAAGCGUGGGGAGCAAACAGGAUUAGAUACCCUAGUAGUCCCAUG